CAGUAGCCACGGGAAUACGGAGGGUGCAAGCGUUAAUCGGAAUUACUGGGCGUAAAGCGCACGCAGGCGGUCUGACAAGUCAGAUGUGAAAUCCCCGGGCUUAACCUGGGAACUGCAUUUGAAACUGUCAGGCUGGAGUCUUGUAGAGGGGGGUGGAAUUCCAGGUGUAGCGGUGAAAUGCGUAGAGAUCUGGAGGAAUACCGGUGGCGAAGGCGGCCCCCUGGACAAAGACUGACGCUCAGGUGCGAAAGCGUGGGGAGCAAACAGGAUUAGAUACCCGGGUAGUCCCUGUCUCUUAUAA
rnacentral:rRNA from 1 species